UAACCAAGAAAUGGGCAUCUUCUCACACA
rnacentral:piRNA from 1 species